ACAACAGAUCAGAUUAUCGCGCGGCUGGCCCUGCAAAGGGCUGGAGCGAGGAAAGUCCGGACACUUAGCCAUCCGCAAGGGUGGCAAGGGUAAUGGGUAACUCCCAUACGCCGUGAGGCGCGAGGUGCGAGCAGAGACGCUCUUCUCCGAAAGGAGUGAGUAUCCAGCAAUGGAUAAGUCUUCGUAGUAAUACGAAGAGUGAAACGGCUAAAUCCUUACCUGAGUGCAAGGUCGCGUCCCGCCUCGGCGGGAAGAACCGCAAAGAUCUGUGUGGCAACAUACAGGCAAGAUAAAUGAUAAUCAUCCGCCUUCUGGCGGAACAGGAUCCGGCUUAUCGAUCUGUUAUGGAA
rnacentral:RNase_P_RNA from 1 species